rnacentral:rRNA from 1 species
UCAUACGUAGGACCCAAGCGUUAUCCGGAUUGACUGGGCGUAAAGAGUUGCGUAGGUGGUUUAUUAAGCGAAUAGUGAAAUCUUGGGGCUCAACCUUAAGGCUAUUAUUUGAACUGGUAGACUCGAGAGUAGGAGAGGCAUCUGGAAUUUUUAGUGUAGGGGUAAAAUCCGUAGAUACUAGAAGGAACACCAAUGGCGUAGGCAGGAUGCUGGCCUAUUUCUGACACUGAGGCACGAAAGCGUGGGGAGCGAACCGGAUUAGAUACCCGGGUAGUCCACGCCGUAAACGAUGAAUACUAGCUGUAUGCCGUAUCGACCCGGUAUGUAGCGAAGCUAACGCGUUAAGUAUUCCGCCUGGGGAGUACGGUCGCAAGACUA